rnacentral:rRNA from 2 species
UAUAGUGGAGGUUAACAGAAUGACAGAUGGUGCAUGGUUGUCGUCAGCUCGUGUCGUGAGAUGUUCGGUUAAGUCCUGCAACGAGCGCAACCCUUGUCCUUAGUUACUUUAUCUAAGGAGACUGCCCGAGUAAUUGGGAGGAAGGUGGGGACGACGUCAAAUCAUCAUGCCUCUUACGAGUGGGGCAACACACGUGCUACAAUGGACGAUACAAAGAGAAGCAAAAUAGUGAUAUCAAGCAAAUCUCAAAAAAUCGUUCUCAGUUCGGAUUGUAGUCUGCAACUCGACUACAUGAAGUCGGAAUCGCUAGUAAUCGUAGAUCAGCUACGCUACGGUGAAUACGUUCUCGGGUCUUGUACACACCGCCCGUCACACCAUGGGAGCUGGUAAUGCCCGAAGU